AAAAGGAAGGUGAAAUCUUCUAAAAGUAAAGAUAUUUCAAUCCUGAGAUGAUAAAUGGAAUAAACAUUAUGAAAUGCAGGAUUCCUUUCCUAGCCGAGCAGUUUAAAACACUUGAAUCUUUUUCUUUUUAGGAGGAACCUUCUCUUUCCUCAUUUCUGAAAGCGUCCAUUUAGCUGCACUCAACAACUCCACCAGCAAAAGUCACUAAAUUAGACAUUUUAACCAAAUCUCUGAAGUAAAUCAGAGCUCUUGAUUUUUUUUCUUAAAACCUCAGCAGACAAAACAGUUGGUCCAAGUAAAAAAAAAGAUAGUAAGGCAGAUUUUCUGCUUUUUUCCUUUGCAUUUUUAUUUUUUAUGGAUUUUAUUAAUGUUGAUUUAAUCAUAUUCAUUGCUGAUGGUAGAUUAAGUUUUCUAAAUGAAAUGCAAAAUUAUUGAAAAAAAAGCCACACCCAGGCCUGAAUACUGAGACGUGUAGAAUUAAGAAAUAACUGAAGUACUUGUCGAAGUAGAAUAAAAGACUGCAAAAAGCAAAAUAUUAGGCCCCAAACAAAAAAACACCAUGAGAUGAGAAACCAAGUCCCUGACAGCUAUCAGUCUGCAAAGGUUUACAAAGCUUUUUCUAAGGCUUUUGAACUCCAGAGAACCACAGUGAGGACCAUUAUCCACAAAUGGAGAAAAUAUGGAACAGCCGUGAACCUUCUCAGGAGACGCCAGCCUACCAACAUUUCUUCAAGAGUGCACCGACAACUCCUCCAGGAGGUCACAAAAGAAUUCAAAAACAAUCUAAAGUGCUGCAGGCCUUUUGUACCUCAUUUAAGUGACUACGAUCUGAUGAUCGAAUACCCGCCGAUCGAAAGCAACUUCAAAGUUAAGUACGAUCAGCUUCUCAAAACGCUCUAGCUUCGUACAAAAGGGGUAAUUAAGACAAGAGGGGCCUGUGUUCCAGGGAGUUCCCAGCAAAGACCCUUUCACUAACAAUGUCGAGAGAAGCGAUUUCCCCCCUGCCUGAAAGAGGACAUCUUCCUCUUUGGACGUCCUUGAGUGGACGUCCGUGUAGUGGGAGCUAUCCCUUGGUUCUCCUCGCAUACACCAAACACGGUGAGAAGACAAAGCACUUGUCACGUUCCAUAUAUUUGCUAUCGAUGGCAGUCAUAAUUAUCUCAGUCUGAUAUUUCUUUAUAUUUUUGUUUAUUUAUUUACUGCCUUUCUUCACUAUGUAAACAGUUUCACAUACAGACAUCAUAACAGUCAGUUGAGUUCAAACCCAUGUCUUCUCUACCUUUACCUCUCAAGCAAAUCCCUCUUUCUUGAAAGGCACUGCUGCAAUAUGCUGUUGUGGGGAAAUGCCAGACUUUGUCAUACCAUGUGCUCUUUAAUUUUGGUAAAAUUUUGUCAGGAAGAUCUUGAUUGAUCUCUGGUUGUUUAUUCUGGUGGUGUUUUAUUGGACUGCAUUAUAAACCCAUGGAUAUCUUUGUAAUGUCAUGUUUACGAAUAAAAAAAGGCUUUCACAUGA